rnacentral:rRNA from 1 species
GAUGAACGCUAGCGAUAGGCUUAACACAUGCAAGUCGAGGGGUAACGUGUUGGAAGCUUGCUUCCGAUGACGACGACCGGCGGAUGGGUGCGUAACGCGUAUGCAACUUGCCUCACAGUGGAGAAUAACCCGGAGAAAUCCGGACUAAUGUUCCAUACACUCUUGAGUACGCCUGUACAUGAGAGGAAAGAUUUAUCGCUGUGAGAUAGGCAUGCGUCCUAUUAGGUAGUUGGUGAGGCAACGGCUCACC